AAAAAUCCUACAGAGACAUGAGACUGAAAAAUCAAUCCUGCUGCAAAAAUUUUAUACCCCCCUCCCGGGAUUUCUAAUGGUGCCCAAAGUCCUGGUAAAGAUGCCCAAAAUCCUGGUAUGUAUUUUUACUAGUUAUACAGGGUGUAUCAAAAUAAACGCAACUCAUCUUUUGUGCUUAAUAACUUUCGACAUACUAUUUCUAGUUAAACGCUUUUAGGCUUACUUCAAAGCCUGUUCUUUUCUCUUUCACACAAACUAUUAUCCUUGUCUCCAAUGCUAGUAAUAAUUGCACAGGAAAAGAUUUAGUAAAACCUAUCAUUUUUAGUUGCUGUUUAAUUAUGCAAGUUUACUAUAUUAUUGUUUAGUCGGUUUAAAUGUUAGAAUUUUCUUCUUUAAACUUUAAUGUUGUCGUCACUACAUCUGGAAAACCACGUAAGAACAAAUUAAAAGUAUUUUAAAAGAGACCAGGUUGUUUGAAAAUCCUAAACGAA